rnacentral:sRNA from 1 species
ACACUCUAUGAACUUCGGUGUUCCUUACAGUUAGCGGAAACGGAAAGGGAAGGAGGAUUUUCUCCACACAUUUCUCCUUUCACUGCUGUCAAUGACCUGGGACAUCUGCUUGGGAGAGCUGGCUUUAAUACUCUGACUGUGGGAAAAGCUCUGAUUGACAAUGUUUAGUUUGUAUAACACAUCUUAAUUGACACAAGGACACUGAUGAAAUUCAAGUUAACUAUCCUGGAAUGUUUGAAUUGAUGGAAGAUUUACAAGAAAAAAAGUCCAGAAUGUUGACCUAAUUUUACAAAACAAGCUGCAUAUCAGCUGAUGAAUGCAUGAGAAAUUUUCAAGGCUUUCACAGUGGUCUUAAGGUAUGGGUGAGAGUAACUGUGCUUGGAAUAGAAAAGCCCUGCUGCAUCGAGACACAAUGCUGGCAGCUGCGGCAGUGUACAGAGAAAUGUACAGAAAUGAAGAUGGUUCAGUACCUGCUACAUACCAGAUCUAUUACAUGAUAGGAUGGAAAUAUCAUGAGUCACAGGCAAGACCAGCUGAAAGAGGUUCCGCAACUGUGUCAUUUGGAGAGCUAGGAAAAAUAAACAACCUUAUGCCACCGGGGAAAAAAUCACAAUAAAUAUUUAUUCAGUGUUAA